UACAGAGGUCUCAAGCGUUGUUCGGAUUCAUUGGGCGUAAAGGGUGCGUAGGUGGCGGGGUAAGUCAGGUGUGAAAUUUCGGAGCUCAACUCCGAAACUGCAUUUGAUACUGCCUUGCUUGAGGACUGGAGAGGAGACUGGAAUUCACGGUGUAGCAGUGAAAUGCGUAGAGAUCGUGAGGAAGACCAGUGGCGAAGGCGGGUCUCUGGACAGUUCCUGACACUUGAGGCACGAAGGCCAGGGGAGCAAACGGG
rnacentral:rRNA from 1 species